UUGGAGGGCAAGUCUGGUGCCAGCAGCCGCGGUAAUUCCAGCUCCAAUAGCGUAUAUUAAAGUUGUUGCAGUUAAAAAGCUCGUAGUUGAAUUUCGGGAUUAGUACGUUGGUCGUGCCUUAGGUACGUACUGGUGUUACUGGUUCCUACCUUCUGACGAACCAUCAUGUCAUUCAUUUGGUGUGGCGGGGAAUCAGGACUGUUACUUUGAAAAAAUUAGAGUGUUUAAAGCAGGCUCGCGCUUGAAUACAUUAGCACGGAAUAAUGAAAUAGGACGUUGAUCCUAUUUUGUUGGUUUCUAGGAUUGACGUAAUGAUUAAUAGGGAUAGUUGGGGGCAUUAGUAUUCAAUUGUCAGAGGUGAAAUUCUUGGAUUUAUUGAAGACUAACUACUGCGAAAGCAUUUGCCAAGGAUGUUUUCAUUAAUCAAGAACGAAAGUUAGGGGAUCGAAGACGAUCAGAUACCGUCGUAGUCUUAACCAUAAACUAUGCCGACUAGGGAUCGGAUGAUGUUAUUUUUAAUGACUCAUUCGGCGCCUUACGGGAAAC
rnacentral:rRNA from 1 species